rnacentral:rRNA from 1 species
GAUGAACGCUGGCGGCGUGCUUAACACAUGCAAGUCGAACGAUGAAGCCCAGCUUGCUGGGUGGAUUAGUGGCGAACGGGUGAGUAACACGUGAGUAACCUGCCCUUAACUCUGGGAUAAGCCUGGGAAACUGGGUCUAAUACCGGAUAGGAGCGUCCACCGCAUGGUGGGUGUUGGAAAGAUUUAUCGGUUUUGGAUGGACUCGCGGCCUAUCAGCUUGUUGGUGAGGUAAUGGCUCACCAAGGCGACGACGGGUAGCCGGCCUGAGAGGGUGACCGGCCACACUGGGACUGAGACACGGCCCAGACUCCUACGGGAGGCAGCAGUGGGGAAUAUUGCACAAUGGGCGCAAGCCUGAUGCAGCGACGCCGCGUGAGGGAUGACGGCCUUCGGGUUGUAAACCUCUUUCAGUAGGGAAGAAGCGAAAGUGACGGUACCUGCAGAAGAAGCACCGGCUAACUACGUGCCAGCAGCCGCGGUAAUACGUAGGGUGCGAGCGUUAUCCGGGAUUAUUGGGCGUAAAGAGCUCGUAGGCGGUUUGUCGCGUCUGUCGUGAAAGUCCGGGGCUUAACCCCGGAUCUGCGGUGGGUACGGGCAGACUAGAGUGCAGUAGGGGAGACUGGAAUUCCUGGUGUAGCGGCGGAAUGCGCAGAUAUCAGGAGGAACACCGAUGGCGAAGGCAGGUCUCUGGGCUGUAACUGACGCUGAGGAGCGAAAGCAUGGGGAGCGAACAGG